rnacentral:sRNA from 1 species
UACAAAUAUUUAUAUACAAAUGGCCAUGUCGACAAGGAUAUCUUAAGAAGACGCCGAAAGUUCAACAGUGACCCAAGGCGAUGGCGAAUUCAGUAAAUGUUUGUGGCGACAUCUAUUCCUCAGAUGCUUCUGACCGAGCACAAGAAAUUCUACAUUGCCGUCAAGUUGCCAGAAUGCGAGUAAGCUUAACAUAGCCUACAAUAUUAUUGUAUUGUUGUACACUCCACAGAAGAUGAGACAAUUUGAAAUUUCCUAAUAUACACGGUUGAAAGAGCCCACGCUUGUGAUCUGUGUCGCAAAGGUCCUAUAGACGCCUAUAAGACGCCUGUAAGGCACGAAAAGUGCGCACCCUUGAAGCCUUGGAUAUGGAAACGACAGGACGUAUUGAGGAUGACGUUAUUGUUAUUAUAUGAUGGUUAUUGGCCUUUUGCUGUUGGCUUAGGCCUUGUACAAAUAGUCUCAGACUUAGUUUUUAUUUGAAAAUAUUUAAUAUGUUUUGUUCUAAAUAUUUUUUGACUCACAAAAUGAAAAAUAUAAGCGAAAUUAUUUUUGAAUGUGAGAUGUAAAUUAACGCUAAGAUGGUGUUGUAGGAAACUCUACCAAGUGUGGUAAAAUCACGAAAAAGGGUUGUAUAGUAGUCUGAUUGACUCAAUUUGAAAAUAUCUAAAUUAUAUAUCACAUUUAAAUGUCAGGUUCAUUGUAGUGCGGGUAGGUAUUAAUUUUCAACG